AUUACUUUGGCAGAUAAGUGUAAUGAUUUUAGAAUUCAUUUAUGUAAAUAGGUUUACAAGUAAUA
rnacentral:tRNA from 1 species